UCCCCGUUGCCGAGGCAGUCUGAUUAGAGAAAUUCAACUAAUCACAAGGGUUGCGCUCGUUAAUGGACUUAACCAAACAUCUCACGACACGAGCUGACGACGGCCAUGCAACACCUGUCACUUGGUUCAAUAAAGCACAGUUUCCUUUCGGAAGCCUUCCAAGGAUGUCAAGCCUGGGUAAGGUUCUUCGCUUACCAUCGAAUUAAACAACACGCUCCACCGCUUGUGCGGGUCCCCGUCAAUUCCUUUGAGUUUUAAUCUUGCGACCGUACUCCCCAGGCGGCAUGCUUAACGCGUUAGCUUCGCUACUACUCGGGUCGAUACGAAUAACAGCUAGCAUGCAUCGUUUACGGCGUGGACUAC
rnacentral:misc_RNA from 1 species